CUGAUGACCAGGACAGAUGGAGGCAGGACAUUUCUUCUUGCCCAUCCUUACUUCCUCACAUGCCUGCCUGGAUCAUGGACUGGAUGGCUAGAGCUUUGGAAAUUGAUUUUGACAUUUCCACUCUCACGGGAAGAUUCUGAUGGAAGACAUUCCGUACAGCUGAAUGACUGUGUGACUUGAGGUGGACUCAGAAGUCCUCGAGAAAAAUAAAUGAAGUGACCAAGG